AGCUUUGCGCAGUGGCAGUAUCGUAGCCAAUGAGGUUUAUCCGAGGCGCGAUUAUUGCUAAUUGAAAAAAUCUUCAUGUGAAAUAACAACAGCAAAAAAGCUACUGGGGUAAAAUAUUAAUAAUGAAUAUAAUAA
ensembl:snRNA U4 U4 spliceosomal RNA